GGUCCUGUAAUGUAAUGGUUCGCAUAGCAGAUUUUGAAUCUGCUUGUUCAGGUUCGAAUCCUGACGGGACUG
rnacentral:tRNA from 1 species